rnacentral:rRNA from 1 species
CCUACGGGCGGCAGCAGUGAGGAAUAUUGGUCAAUGGGCGCGAGCCUGAACCCGCCAAGUCGCGUGAGGGAAGACGGUCCUAUGGAUUGUAAACCUCUUUUGUCGGGGAGCAAAAGACGCCACGCGUGGCGUUACGAGAGUAACCGAAGAAAAAGCAUCGGCUAACUCCGUGCAAGCAGCCGCGGGAAUACGGAGGAUGCGAGCGGUAUCCGGAUUUAUUGGGUUUAAAGGGUGCGCAGGCGGAAGAUCAAGUCGGCGGUAAAAUUGAGAGGCUCAACCUCUUCGAGCCGUUGAAACUGGUUUUCUUGAGUGAGUGAGAAGUAUGCGGAAUGCGUGGUGUAGCGGUGAAAUGCAUAGAUAUCACGCAGAACUCCGAUUGCGAAGGCAGCAUACCGGCGCUCAACUGACGCUCAUGCACGAAAGUGUGGGUAUCGAACAGGAUUAGAUACCCCAGUAGUC